GGAAGAGCAGCGUACUGCCAGGAUCUCCCCAAAAACUGCCAAGGGGGAGGUGAAAUCCGUGACUGACAGCUAACACACAGAGGAUGCCAUCACAAGCAGCAGAUCACCACCACAGCUGAAAAGGUGACCAUGUCCAUUCACCGCUGGAGUGUAAACAGUCCGGGGACCGGAACUUGGACAUGCGGGAGCCAGCACAGAGGAACAGAGUGGCAUGGAGUGGAUGAUGAUUAUAAUGAUGAUGAGAUUAUAAUAACAAUACUUCAAAAAUUGCACAUGGGAAGAUGCUAUUCUUUUACUUGGUGGCUUCAACACUGUGAAUCAAGAAGAGGUGUUUCUUCCUAUGGGAUUGGAGAGGGAGGAUCAUAAGUCUAUCACAGCCUGAGCACACCAUGAGGCUAUGAUUAGGAACCACAGUGUUCGAAACCGAACUGGAGGAGGGAGGAGAUGUCCACCGC